AAAACAUGACUUUGAUCUGCGUCCUCAUCUGGACUCUCCUCUGCUGCUGCUUCACAGAGUCCAGAGGCCAGGUCACAGUGACUCAGCCUGGAUCAGUGACCUCUGGUCUGGGAGGAACCGUCACCAUCAGUUUUAGAACCAGUCAGAAUCCAAGCUAUUUAUCCUGGUACCAACAGAGAGAUGGAGGAGUUCCUAAACUUCUCAUUUACUCUACUAGCACUAGAGUAUCAGGGAUUCCAGAUCGUUUUUCAGGCAGUGGAUCAAACUCUGACUUCACUCUGACCAUCAGUGGAGUCCAGACUGAAGAUGCAGCAGUUUAUUACUGUCAGAGUGGACACUGGAUAAACAGUAUAGCUGUGUUCACACAGUGA